CACAAAUAAAAAACGUUAUAUAAUUAAAUUCAAAAAAAUGAGAGAGACUGAUGCGUCCAUGUGAGAUUUCGAAAAACUAAACGAAUCUCGAGGGAAAAACAUAACUAAGUGACCUUUAUUAUUUUGUCAUAAAUAUUAUUUAGAUUAUCUGUGUCUGUCUGUAAGUUGAUGAGAUUAUCAGAUCUCUUAAUAAAAAACAUCUCAGCAAUCUCUCUUUUUCGAACAUACGUUUCGCUAUGUAAGAUGUCGGGUUUCAACCAAUCAAAAUCGUGUCCAGAUUCCAAGGUGGUCCUCUCAGGGAAGUUUUGCGAGAAAAAGAUAUCGCUGAGAAUUGAAAAACAUGACGAAUACAAAUAACAACUCGUUUUAUUAUUUUCUGAGCGGCAACAAGAAGAUGAGAGAUUAUAGUGACAUAAAGGAUUAAGAAAAUUAUGAUUUAUUGUAAAAACUAUUAGAACCGAUCAGAUACAAUCUUCUAGUUCCUGGAAUGCAGAUAACGAUAAUUAAUUUAGACUUUUAAUUACUGGCUAAAAAUAUCGCCUGACAGAAUAAAAGCAAUCGAAGAAAUAGUAAUCAUGCUUCACAACUCGAGCAAUAUAGCAGCAAGUUGUCUAAAAGUAUUCCUAAACUGAAACUGAAUAUAUUUUUGUCAUAAACAUCUGUUAUUAACAUCGUUAAAUCGGUGGAAAGAUUGCUAGAACUGGUUUCUUACUUGAACUGAGUGACAUUUUAGUCUUAUCUACAUAUGAUGACUAAAAGAUGAUUUUAUUAAAAAACAUUAAGAGGGACCCGUUUGCCUAUAUUACCGAUUGCCAAAAUUCCUGAUUGCCUACAUGUAUUAUUGCACACAUGAAAAAUAUAAGGAAACGAAAGUACGAUUGCACACAUGACAUUAUUGCGCACAUAUACAUUGCACACAUGACUUUUAAAUGCAAAAAUAAAAGGACG